CAGAGUAACUUCUACAAUGGGAAAAAAGAAAGCAGGAGAGGCUAGUGUAGGCACUAAAGCCAAUGCAAGCAACAAAGAUGGAAAGAAAGAGAAAAUAUCUGUUGCAGCCUUGCUUGCCAACAUGGACCAGAAACCUGAUAAACCUAAAAAGGGAUCAACCUCUUCCUUGAGCACCGCCAAGGCAAAGGCUCCAAAAGUUUCAUCUUAUACUGAUGGAAUUGAUCUCCCUCCUUCUGAUGAAGAGGAUGAUUAUGCCUCUGAGGAUAAGCAGCAGCAGGCUGGGGCCAAAAGCAGACAGCAAAGGGGUGAUGUAAAGCCUCUUGAUAUCUCUGUAACAGACAAAGAACUCAAGAAACGAGAAAAGAAGGACUUGCUUGCUGCUCUUGCUGCAGAGCAAGCCAAAAAAGAGGCCCUUAAGGAUGACCAUGACGCAUUCACUGUUGUUAUUGGUAGCCGAGCUUCAGUUCUUGAAGGUGAAGAUGACGCAGAUGCGAAUGUCAAAGAUAUAACAAUAGAUAAUUUCUCUGUGUCAGCACGGGGGAAAGAACUCUUAAAAAAUGCAUCAGUGAAGAUAUCACAUGGAAAGAGAUAUGGUUUAGUUGGGCCUAAUGGGAUGGGCAAGUCCACGUUGUUAAAGCUUAUUGCUUGGAGGAAGAUUCCUGUACCUAAAAAUAUAGACGUGCUUCUGGUUGAACAAGAGGUGAUUGGUGAUGAUAAAACUGCUCUAGAAGCAGUUGUUGCUGCUAAUGAAGAGCUUGUCAAGAUUCGGCAAGAAGUUGCAUCCUUGCAAAAUUUAACUUUAGCUGCAGGUGAUGAGGAUGGAGAUGAUAUAAAUGGAAAUGAUGCAGGAGAGAAGCUUCCCGAGUUGUAUGAGAAAUUGCAGAUCUUGGGGUCAGAUGCUGCUGAGGCUCAGGCAUCAAAGAUUCUUGCUGGGCUUGGUUUCACCAGGGAAAUGCAGGGUCGUCCUACUAAAUCAUUUAGCGGUGGAUGGAGGAUGAGAAUUUCAUUGGCUAGGGCACUUUUUGUCCAGCCAACUCUUUUAUUGUUGGAUGAACCCACUAAUCACCUUGACCUCAGAGCUGUUCUAUGGUUAGAGGAGUACCUUUGCAGAUGGAAGAAAACACUUGUUGUUGUUUCUCAUGACAGGGAUUUCCUUAACACAGUAUGUAAUGAAAUUAUCCAUCUUCAUGACAUGAAGCUUCAUGUCUACCGAGGAAAUUUUGAUGAUUUUGAAAGUGGUUAUGAGCAGCGUCGCAAAGAGAUGAACAAGAAAUUUGAGAUUUAUGAUAAGCAGGUGAAAGCUGCGAAGAGAUCAGGAAACCGUGUACAGCAGGAAAAGGUUAAAGAUCGUGCAAAGUUUGCUGCUGCCAAGGAAGCAUCCAAGAGCAAGGCAAAGGGCAAGGUUGAAGACGAACCUCCACCAGAGGCUCCAAAGAAGUGGAAAGAUUACAGUGUGGAGUUCCACUUCCCUGAACCAACAGAGCUGACACCACCACUUUUGCAGCUGAUUGAAGUCAGCUUCAGUUAUCCCAACCGGGAGGAUUUCAGGCUCUCAAAUGUUGAUGUGGGCAUUGAUAUGGGUACCCGUGU
rnacentral:misc_RNA from 1 species